UACAGAGACUGCAAGCGUUAUUCGGAUUCACUGGGCGUAAAGGGUGCGCAGGCGGCCGAGUGUGUGAGGCGUGAAAGCCUGGGGCUUAACCCCAGAAUUGCACCUCAAACUACACGGCUAGAGCAUUGGAGAGGGUAGCAGAAUUCAUGGUGUAGCAGUGAAAUGCGUAGAUAUCAUGAGGAAUACCAGAGGCGAAGGCGGCUAACUGGACAAUUGCUGACGCUCAGGCACGAAAGCGUGGGGAGCAAAAGGG
rnacentral:rRNA from 1 species